UACGAGGGGGGCGAGCGUUGUUCGGAAUUAUUGGGCGUAAAGGGCGCGUAGGCGGUCGGAUAAGUCUUGUGUGAAAUCUUCGGGCUCAACUCGAAGUCUGCACAGGAAACUAUCUGGCUUGAGUGUGGAAGUGGUGAGUGGAAUUCCUGGUGUAGCGGUGAAAUGCGUAGAUAUCAGGAGGAACACCUGUGGCGAAAGCGGCUCACUGGACCACAACUGACGCUGAGGCGCGAAAGCUAGGGGAGCAAACGGG
rnacentral:rRNA from 1 species